CAAACAAAAAAAAUUGAGAGAUAUACGAAAAACUAACCAAAAUCGAGAAAACCCUAAUUUCUCAAAACCAACAGAGAACUGGAUGGAAACGAUCAAGGGUAACAUCGGACGAAUCCUCACGACGAGUAGAGUCGAAAUAUACCCGCUCUGAUACCAUGAUAACAUUCUAUAAGCUCCGAUUGAAAGAAAAAUGAGGAAGAAGAAGAACAGUGAAGAAGAGAGAGAAGAGAGAAAAGAUGAACUGAAGAAAUGGAAAAUGCAAUUAUGAUCUCUAUCUCGAACCUUCUGUCCGUGUACAGAUAUAUCAAAAUAUGUAAAAUUGUGUGUGUGUGUAAUUACAUGUGUACCCCUGUAACUUAUACAAAAUUAUAUACACAGAUUAAAUAAAAAAUGCCCUUGGGCUGCUGCUAGAUUGGGCUUGUAUCAGCAUCAUUGGGCUGAU
rnacentral:lncRNA from 1 species